UGGGGAAUAUUGCACAAUGGGCGCAAGCCUGAUGCAGCCAUGCCGCGUGUGUGAAGAAGGCCUUCGGGUUGUAAAGCACUUUCAGCGAGGAGGAAGGUGGUGAGCUUAAUACGCUCAUCAAUUGACGUUACUCGCAGAAGAAGCACCGGCUAACUCCGUGCCAGCAGCCGCGGUAAUACGGAGGGUGCAAGCGUUAAUCGGAAUUACUGGGCGUAAAGCGCACGCAGGCGGUUUGUUAAGUCAGAUGUGAAAUCCCCGGGCUCAACCUGGGAACUGCAUUUGAAACUGGCAAGCUAGAGUCUCGUAGAGGGGGGUAGAAUUCCAGGUGUAGCGGUGAAAUGCGUAGAGAUCUGGAGGAAUACCGGUGGCGAAGGCGGCCCCCUGGACGAAGACUGACGCUCAGGUGCGAAAGCGUGGGGCAGCAAACAGGAUUAGAUACCCUGGUAGUCCACGCUGUAAAAC
rnacentral:rRNA from 1 species